rnacentral:rRNA from 1 species
CAGUCGCCGCGGGAAUACGUAGGUGGCAAGCGUUGUCCGGAAUUAUUGGGCGUAAAGCGCGCGCAGGCGGUUUCUUAAGUCUGAUGUGUAAGCCCCCGGCUUAACCGGGGAGGGUCAUUGGAAACUGGGAGACUUAGAGUGCAGAAGAGGAGAGUGGAAUUCCAUGUGUAGCGGUGAAAUGCGUAGAUAUAUGGAGGAACACCAGUGGCGAAGGCGACUCUCUGGUCUGUAACUGACGCUGAGGCGCGAAAGCGUGGGGAGCAAACAGGAUUAGAUACCCCAGUAGUCCCUGUCUCUUAUA